CGGUUGAUCCCGCCGGACCUGACUGCUAUCGGAUUGAUACUAAGCCAUGCGAGUCUUUGUAGCAAUACAAGGCAUACGGCUCAGUAACGCGUAGUCAACCGAACCUAUGGACGAGAAUAACCUCGGGAAACUGAGAAUAAUGCUCGAUAGAACACUAUACCUGGAAUGGUUUGUGUUCCAAAGGAUUUAUCGCCGUAGGAUGGGACUGCGGCCUAUCAGUUUGUUGGUGAGGUAAUGGCCCACCAAGACUAUUACAGGUACGGGCUCUGAGAGGAGUAGCCCGGAGAUGGGUACUGAGACACGGACCCAGGCCCUAUGGGGCGCAGCAGGCGAGAAAACUUUGCAAUGUGCGAAAGCACGACAAGGUUAAUCCGAGUGAUUUGUGCUAAACGAAUCUUUUGUUAGUCAUAGAACCACUAACGAAUAAGGGGUGGGCAAGUUCUGGUGUCAGCCGCCGCGGUAAAACCAGCACCUCAAGUGGUCAGGAUGAUUAUUGGGCCUAAAGCAUCCGUAGCCGGCUCUGUAAGUUUUCGGUUAAAUCUGUACGCUCAACGUACAGGCUGC
rnacentral:rRNA from 1 species